ACCUCACCACCAUUGCUCCUCCCCAACCAACGCCCCUGGCCCAACGCGUCCCCUCCCCCACUUACCGCCCCAUUCAAGCCCCCGCCAUCAACGCCCUCGCCUCCAACACCGCCCCGAUCAUGCUCUUUCUUGUACCCAUCUUCUCCCAUCCUCGGUCCACCGUGAAACAUCAGAGCUCUUUCUUCGAAUCCAAUAGCAGAAGCACGAGAGCAGCAUAAUUGGAUCGUUUCAUUCUUUGGAGUUUGCAAUGGCACGUGGAAUGAGAGGAAAAAUUAGAUCAACCUUAUAAUGUUGUUGGUUAUGUUGAUCGGCAAGUACUUGGAAUCAGUCAUAUGUAUCAACAUUC